GACGAACGCUGGCGGCGUGCUUAACACAUGCAAGUCGAACGGAGUGGCGAACGGGUGAGUAACACGUGGGUGAUCUGCCUUGCACUUCGGGAUAAGCUUGGGAAACUGGGUCUAAUACCGGAUAGUGCAAGAUGAGCUGGCGGCCUAUCAGCUUGUUGGUGGGGUAAUGGCCUACAAAGGCGUCGACGGGUAGCCGGCCUGAGAGGGUGUACAGCAACAUUGGGACUGAGAUAAGGCCCAGAACCUUAAGGGAGGCAGAAGUGGGGAAUAUUGCACAAUGGGCGGAAGCCUGAUGCAGGGACGCCGUGUGGGGGAUGAAGGCCUUCGUGUUGUAAACUCCUUUCGACAGGGACGCGGUACCUGUAUAAGAAGCACCGGCUAACUACGUGCCAGCAGCCGCGGUAAUUC
rnacentral:rRNA from 1 species